rnacentral:rRNA from 1 species
AGAUUGAACGCUGGCGGCAUGCCUUACACAUGCAAGUCGAACGGUAACGCGGGGCAACCUGGCGACGAGUGGCGAACGGGUGAGUAAUGCAUCGGAACGUGCCCAGUAGUGGGGGAUAGCCCGGCGAAAGCCGGAUUAAUACCGCAUACGACCUAUGGGUGAAAACGGGGGACUCGCAAGAGCCUCGCGCUAUUGGAGCGGCCGAUGUCAGAUUAGCUAGUUGGUGGGUAAAAGCCUACCAAGGCGACGAUCUGUAGCUGGUCUGAGAGGACGACCAGCCACACUGGGACUGAGACACGGCCCAGACUCCUACGGGAGGCAGCAGUGGGAAUUUGGACAAUGGCGCAAGCCUGAUCCAGCCAUGCGCGUGCGGAGAGGCCUUGGUGUAACCGCUUUGUCAGGAAGAACGCUACUGGCUAAGUACCGUGGGUAACUGACGGUACCGUAGAAGAACUAAGACACCGGACUAACCGUACGUACGACCAGCCAACGCCGACGGUAACUCGUAGUAA